UGGGACAUGCGCAUUCUGCGUCUCUCUCCGCUGCGAGUCCAACCAGAGGACCCGCCGACAGCGCACUCCAGACACGCCCCCGCAUUCAUCAAGCGGACCGCGCCCACUCUCCGCCGCAGCCGGCUGCAGGACACACCUGUGACUGACGAUGAGCAGCAUAAAAGACCAGUGGACACAGGGAUCCGUGCGGGAACUUAGUUCCAAAUGCGUACCAAUCCUCCGUCGCCCGCAAGGUGAGCUGUGCGUCUCACUCUUUUCCCUGGAUCUCCCUCUGGAUUCUGACUGCCUCCUUUGUACCUCGACUCCUCGCUCGUUUGACCUGAACCCUCUGCCUGCCCCACGGACUUCCGCGUUCUCUUUUGUCAACACUUGGGUAAAACACACUUCAGUUAAUUUACACACUUAGACUAACACCAUACACUCUAGAGUUUUUGCCACGCUCCAUUUACUUAGUAUGUUUUCUGUUGAUUGAUUAUUACAUAUAUACAUUUGUUAAUAUAGAUAUAUAUAUAUAUAUUUUAAUAAAUCUUUGGACAUACUGCCACCUGGUGUCCGUUUGCCGUCACGUCCUCCUUAGUAAA